rnacentral:rRNA from 1 species
UACGGAGGGUGCAAGCUUAUCCGGAUUCACUGGGUUUAAAGGGUGCGUAGGAGGGCAGGUAAGUCAGUGGUGAAAUCUCCAAGCUUAACUUGGAACUGCCGUUGAUACUAUCUGUCUUGAAUACCGUGGAGAUGAGCGGAAUAUGUCAUGUAGCGGUGAAAUGCUUAGAUAUGACAUAGAACACCAAUUGCGAAAGGCAGCUCGUUACACGAAUAUUGACUCUGAGGCACGAAAGCGUGGGGAUCAAACAGG